UACGGAGGGUGCAAGCGUUAAUCGGAAUUACUGGGCGUAAAGCGUGCGUAGGCGGUUCGUUAAGUCUGUUGUGAAAGCCCCGGGCUCAACCUGGGAAUGGCAAUGGAUACUGGCGAGCUAGAGUGUGUCAGAGGAUGGUGGAAUUCCCGGUGUAGCGGUGAAAUGCGUAGAUAUUGGGAAGAACACCGAUGGCGAAGGCAGCCAUCUGGACCGACACUGACGCUGAGGCGCGAAAGCGUGGGGAGCAAACAGG
rnacentral:rRNA from 1 species